UCCGAGGGACAUGAAGACCACCUAAUCCAUGAUCAAACUGGCUUGGACAACCUGGCUGCGACAGUGGAACCCUCCUAAAAAACGGGUGCCAAGAGACAUUAACUGGUGUUGUGGGAACAGAAUUGGGAAUCAGUUCAGAGCUCCAGUUACCUUACAUGAACUUUUAGAAUCCAAUCUCAUGUUGAUUCACAAGCUACUGCCUACUCCCAUUGGGAUGAACCUUACUUUGGUAAAGCAACUAUUACUUCAUCAAGAUCUAAUAGAGAUCCUAGGAAAAAUCAAGGAGAAUGGACAGAAAACUCUGGUAACUGUUCAUCAUGAUGUGCAAGAAAUACAUCGUGUUGUAGAAAGGGUGGAAAGUGAUGCCGAGCACAAGUGGUGGGAUACCCUUUUCGGGUGGUCACCCACCGCCACCGGUAUCCUGAACAAAUUGUGCCAUCCCGUUGUUGUUCUUCUGAUUUUAGUUAUGAUUGGUUUUGUUUUAUCAGUAAUCUUGCUUAUUGUA